AUUGAACGCUGGCGGCAGGCCUAACACAUGCAAGUCGAGCGGUAGCACAGGAGAGCUUGCUCUCUGGGUGACGAGCGGCGGACGGGUGAGUAAUGUCUGGGAAACUGCCUGAUGGAGGGGGAUAACUACUGGAAACGGUAGCUAAUACCGCAUAACGUCGCAAGACCAAAGAGGGGGACCUUCGGGCCUCUUGCCAUCAGAUGUGCCCAGAUGGGAUUAGCUAGUAGGUGGGGUAACGGCUCACCUAGGCGACGAUCCCUAGCUGGUCUGAGAGGAUGACCAGCCACACUGGAACUGAGACACGGUCCCGACUCCUACGGGAGGCAGCAGUGGGGAAUAUUGCACAAUGGGCGCAAGCCUGAUGCAGCCAUGCCGCGUGUAUGAAGAAGGCCUUCGGGUUGUAAAGUACUUUCAGCGGGGAGGAAGGUGUUGAGGUUAAUAACCUCAGCAAUUGACGUUACCCGUAGAAGAAGCACCGGCUAACUCCGUGCCAGCCGCCGCCGUAA
rnacentral:rRNA from 1 species